CCCAACCUAAUAUUUAUUUCUG
rnacentral:miRNA from 1 species